CUUCAAUGAUGAACAAAAGAAUUCUGCAAUACUGACAAUUUCCUGCUCUGGCGUGUGAAAUUGCAGGUUGACAAAUUUUCCUACACUUGAUCUGAUU
rnacentral:snoRNA from 17 species